rnacentral:rRNA from 1 species
ACGGAGGGUGCAAGCGUUAUCCGGAUUUAUUGGGUUUAAAGGGUGCGUAGGCGGUUUGAUAAGUCAGCGGUGAAAUAUUUCAGCUUAACUGGAAGGGUGCCGUUGAUACUGUCGAGCUUGAAUUUAGUUGCUGUGGGUGGAAUGUGUGGUGUAGCGGUGAAAUGCAUAGAUAUCACACAGAAUAUCGAUUGCGAAGGCAGCUCACAAAGCUAAUAUUGACGCUGAUGCACGAAAGUGUGGGGAUCAAACAG